CAAUAAAACUCUUCGGAACGUUCACCGUGAAACCAUUACGGCAUGUACCGUUAUGAUUUUCAGACAAUGAGAUAAGACCUAUCUUGGGACAUGUAUGACUUGAAAGGUAAGGAAGAAAAGGGUCACAAUGGUAGAAUACAGUGAUAUUCUUGUAGGUUGGCAAAAGCUCAAAAAUUUGGGGAGGCAAGGUUGUGUUGGUGAACGCAGAGGAGCAAAAAGAGCCUAGAAAGUCUGGUCUGAGAAGCUCCAGCAACGGAUGGCCGCAAUUUCUGUGACGUGUCCCUCCCCAGAAUGGGAAACCGGCGGUGAUGUUACCACAUUCGAACAAAGUCUCACAUAAUUCAAGUUUACUUGAAGCACAAGGAAGAUGGUGGAAUAUGGAGAAGAGAAAGAAAAAGACCAGAGGAUACAUGGAGAUAAAGUACAUGAUUGGUUUGAUCUGUGAACAGUGAGCCCCUGGGUUAAAGGGAAACAAAAAGAGAGAGAUAGAUAAGAAGCAAGUAGAGAUGGUGAAGAACAAAGUCAAGCAACGAUAGUGACGGAUACAGAGAGAUCGGUCAAUGAUUAUCUAUUAUUUAUUUUGUGGUUUAGAACAUUAUAUGUAAUUAGUUCGUUCUAUAGUGAAGCUGACUAAACAAGAUCUAUGAGACUGGGAAAGUCAAAUACUAAGGAUAGUGACGGGUACAAAGAGAUUUGGAGUCUUUCUUAGGUGGACCUUUUGAAACGCGUUGUUUAGAUGAGAUAUUUCGACACUGAAAAGGUAAAAGAACCAGUUUGAAACU